rnacentral:rRNA from 1 species
CGGCGAACGGGUGAGUAAUGUUUCGGAAUCUACCCAAUGGUGGGGAAUAACCAGCCGAAAGGUUGGCUAAUACCGCAUAAGUCCUACGGGAGAAAGCAGGGGAUCGCAAGACCUUGCGCCGAUGGAUGAGCCGAAGCCGGAUUAGCUAGUUGGUAGGGUAACGGCCUACCAAGGCGACGAUCCGUAGCUGGUCUGAGAGGACGACCAGCCACACUGGGACUGAGACACGGCCCAG